GUAGAGAUGGCUCAGUGGUUAAGAGUAUUUGUUGCACUUCUAAAAGACCUGGGUUCAAUUCCCAGCACCCACA
rnacentral:tRNA from 1 species